rnacentral:rRNA from 1 species
GUGGGGAAUUUUGGACAAUGGGCGCAAGCCUGAUCCAGCAAUGCCGCGUGCAGGAAGAAGGCCUUCGGGUUGUAAACUGCUUUUGUACGGAACGAAACGGUCCUGGUUAAUACCUGGGGCUAAUGACGGUACCGUAAGAAUAAGCACCGGCUAACUACGUGCCAGCAGCCGCGGUAAUACGUAGGGUGCGAGCGUUAAUCGGAAUUACUGGGCGUAAAGCGUGCGCAGGCGGUGCUGUAAGACAGGCGUGAAAUCCCCGGGCUCAACCUGGGAAUUGCGCUUGUGACUGCAGUGCUGGAGUACGGCAGAGGGGGGUGGAAUUCCGCGUGUAGCAGUGAAAUGCGUAGAUAUGCGGAGGAACACCGAUGGCGAAGGCAGUCCCCUGGGCCUGCACUGACGCUCAUGCACGAAAGCGUGGGGAGCAAACAGGAUUAGAAACCCGUGUAGUCC